AUUGAACGCUGGCGGCAGGCCUAACACAUGCAAGUCGAACGGUAACAGGAAGCAGCUUGCUGCUUCGCUGACGAGUGGCGGAUGGGUGAGUAAUGUCUGGGAAGCUGCCUGAUGGAGGGGGAUAACUACUGGAAACGGUAGCUAAUACCGCAUAAUGUCGCAAGACCAAAGAGGGGGACCUUCGUGCCUCUUGCCAUCGGAUGUGCCCAGAUGGGAUUAGCUUGUUGGUGGGGUAACGGCUCACCAAGGCGACGAUCCCUAGCUGGUCUGAGAGGAUGACCAGCCACACUGGAACUGAGACACGGUCCAGACUCCUACGGGAGGCAGCAGUGGGGAAUAUUGCACAAUGGGCGCAAGCCUGAUGCAGCCAUGCCGCGUGUAUGAAGAAGGCCUUCGGGUUGUAAAGUACUUUCAGCGGGGAGGAAGGGAGUAAAGUUAAUACCUUUGCUCAUUGACGUUACCCGCAGAAGAAGCACCGGCUAACUCCGUG
rnacentral:rRNA from 1 species